rnacentral:rRNA from 1 species
UGAGCGAUCUGCCCUUCUCUUUGGAAUAAGCGUUGGAAACGACGUCUAAUGCCGAAUACGACCUCCUUUAGCAUGAUCGGAGGUGGAAAGCUCCGGCGGAGAAGGAUGAGCUCGCGGCCUAUCAGCUAGUUGGUGUGGGUAAUGGCCCACCAAGGCGACGACGGGUAGCCGGCCUGAGAGGGUGACCGGCCACACUGGGACUGAGACACGGCCCAGACUCCUACGGGAGCAG